rnacentral:rRNA from 1 species
GCGAGGCAGAGCAAACCCCUAAAAGCCAUCCCAGUUCGGAUUGCAGGCUGCAACCCGCCUGUAUGAAGUUGGAAUCGCUAGUAAUCGCGGAUCAGCAUGCCGCGGUGAAUACGUUCCCGGGCCUUGUACACACCGCCCGUCACACCAUGAGAGUCGGGAACACCCGAAGUCCGUAGCCUAACCGCAAGGAGGGCGCGGCCGAAGGUGGGUUCGAUAAUUGGGGUGAAGUCGUAACAAGGUAGC